rnacentral:rRNA from 1 species
AGAGUUUGAUCAUGGCUCAGAACGAACGCUGGCGGCGUGGAUAAGACAUGCAAGUCGAGCGAGAUUUUUUCCUGUAGCAAUACAGGGAAACGUCUAGCGGCGAACGGGUGCUUAACACGUGGGCAAUCUGCCGAGAAGUGGGGGAUAGCUCGCCGAAAGGCGAAUUAAUACCGCAUGUGAUCAGAGUGGACAUCCAUUCAAAAUCAAAGUCGGGGCAACCUGACGCUUCUUGAGGAGCCCGCGGCCUAUCAGCUAGUUGGUGAGGUAACGGCCCACCAAGGCUUUGACGGGUAGCUGGUCUGAGAGGACGACCAGCCACACUGGGACUGAGACACGGCCCAGACACCUACGGGUGGCAGCAGUCGAGAAUUUUUCUCAAUGGGGGAAACCCUGAAGGAGCGACGCCGCGUGGAGGAUGAAGGUCUUCGGGUUGUAAACUCCUGUCAUUUGGGAACAAUGCGUAAAUAUUAACUGUAUUUACGUUGAUAGUACCAGAAGAGGAAGAGACGGCUAACUCUGUGCCAGCAGCGGCGGUAAUAC